UACGAGGGGGGCGAGCGUUGUUCGGAAUUAUUGGGCGUAAAGGGUGCGUAGGCGGUUCCGCAAGUCCUGUGUGAAAUCUUCGGGCUCAACUCGAAGUCUGCACGGGAAACUGCGGGGCUUGAGUGUGGGAGAGGUGAGUGGAAUUUCCGGUGUAGCGGUGAAAUGCGUAGAUAUCGGGAGGAACACCUGUGGCGAAAGCGGCGCACUGGACCACAACUGACGCUGAGGCGCGAAAGCUAGGGGAGCAAACAGG
rnacentral:rRNA from 1 species